AGCGAACGUUAGCGGCGCGCCUAACACAUGCAAGUCGCACGAGAAAGGGCUUCGGCCCCGGUAAAGUGGCGCACGGGUGAGUAACACGUGGGCAACCUGCCCAACCCUGGGGGAUAACCUGCCGAAAGGCGGGCUAAUACCGCGUACGAGGGCCUGACUUCGGUCGGGUUCUGAAAGCAGGCCUCUGAAUUCAAGCUUGUGGGGUUGGAUGGGCCCGCGGUCCAUCAGCUAGUUGGUGAGGUAAAGGCUCACCAAGGCUACGACGGAUAGCUGGUCUGAGAGGAUGAUCAGCCACACUGGAACUGAGACACGGUCCAGACUCCUACGGGAGGCAGCAGUGGGGAAUCUUGCGCAAUGGGCGAAAGCCUGACGCAGCGACGCCGCGUGGGUGACGAAGGCCUUCGGGUUGUAAAGCCCUGUGGGGCGAGACGAACAGCUUCUGGUCAAAUAGGCCAGGGGUCUGACGGUAUCGCCUUAGCAAGCACCGGCUAACUCUGUGCCAGCAGCCGCCGUAACAC
rnacentral:rRNA from 1 species